rnacentral:lncRNA from 1 species
CAUGGGUUGUCCGGACGUAAUAAAGUAUCCGACGAAACCAAAUGUCGUCGCAUUCAAUCUGUUUUAACAUUCAAACAAGUAUUACUAUAUAAAACAGUAAUUUAACAGAAUCAUUAACGUGAUUACUAAUCAACUGACCUUUUGUUUAUUUAAGUUCUAUAAACAUGUUACACUUCCAAGGAAGGUGUCAAACGCGGUACUGCGUUUGAUGACAAAUAUCAUAGACUUUU